rnacentral:lncRNA from 1 species
AUGAACAUCAACAAAACAACAUAUCAAAUGCAAUGCACACACCCAUGCAUGACUCAACACGACUCGGUAUACCCAUUUUGUGACCAACUACAGGAUCACCACUCCCAGAUUCAUCACCAUAGAAUCCGAGUUCCCCGCAAGGAACCAAGCCUCUCAACAAGCCCGGAGUCAACAACAUCAUUGGAACUCAGUCCGUUCAUCACUAGGCAUCGGCCUUUCAUGAAUGCAUGCACACCAAGCAUGCAUCAUAAUCAACAUAGCAACAACAGCAUCAUAUAUUCAUGUUAUCAUCAUCAUUAACACAUUCUAUCACAAAAGCAUAUCACAUCAUGCCACAUAAUCAAACACAGUAUUAUCACACUCUACUAAUAUCUAUACCACUCAAAGCAACGGGAAAUGAUCCCUCGUAUACCAUGCAUCAGCUAAGUUACCUCGCUCAGCCUAAACAACCAAAAACUGCACAACAACAGCCCAGGAAAGACCACAAGUCUGCCCAUACGCGUAUUGCCUAUGCCCAUACGCGUAUUACCCACGCCUGACCAAAUCCAUACGCGUAUUGCCCAUGUCCAUACGCGUAUGCUACGCGUAUCACAUUCCCAUACGCGUACCAACAGAGACCAAAACACGUUCAAAACAUCAUCUUCCUCAUCCAUACGCGUAUUGCCUAGUGCCAUACGCGUACCAGCCAUCUCAUACGCGUAUUGCCUAGUGCCAUACGCGUAUGACCAGAAACCAGAUUUCCAGAUCUGCAAU